UGUUUGGUUUUUCACUCCAGCGGUCCUGAAGUGCUGCACUCACUCAACCCAGAGGAUGAUGGCCAGCAACUAGUUGGUUACGAGGCAUGCAAUCAGGAUCCAGCGAUGCGUUCCCCGACACCUCACAACUAUGCAACUAUGGACGAGGUGAGGCUUGUAUAUCCCGCGUAUUAUGGCUAGGUUUGAAGCAAGAAACUCAAUAUUUACAGCAGUGUCUCGAAAUACGACAGCUACUCAAGGACUUGCUGGGUUAACUAUGACAUCUGCCCACCGCUACAACUACGACAAAAGGCCAGCAGUUUAAAUGAAAGUGUGAUUAAUGGCAGUGGAUAUCAAAUUGACAACGCAUUUAGCAUGAAAACAGAAUAAAAUAAAAUAUGCAAAGGACGUAGAAACAAAGUAUCCUUACCAAAUAUAUCCGCUCCCAAUUUUUUGGUCUCCCAGUGAUGAAACAUGGAACGAGAAGCAUAUACUUAAAAUAAAUACAAAAGAAUACACAGGGGAAGAAGAAGGAGGAAAUAAUAAAAACACCA
rnacentral:sRNA from 2 species